AUUGAACGCUGGCGGCAGGCCUAACACAUGCAAGUCGAACGGUAACAGGAAGAAGCUUGCUUCUUUGCUGACGAGUGGCGGACGGGUGAGUAAUGUCUGGGAAACUGCCUGAUGGAGGGGGAUAACUACUGGAAACGGUAGCUAAUACCGCAUAACGUCGCAAGACCAAAAAGGGGGACCUUCGGGCCUCUUGCCAUCGGAUGUGCCCAGAUGGGAUUAGCUAGUAGGUGGGGUAACGGCUCACCUAGGCGACGAUCCCUAGCUGGUCUGAGAGGAUGACCAGCCACACUGGAACUGAGACACGGUCCAGACUCCUACGGGAGGCAGCAGUGGGGAAUAUUGCACAAUGGGCGGAAGCCUGAUGGAGCCAUGCCGCGUGUAUGAAGAAGGCCUUCGGGUUGUAAAGUACUUUCAGCGGGGAGGAAGGGAGUAGAGUUAAUACCUUCGCUCAUUGACGUUACCCGCAGAAGAAGCACCGGCUAACUCCGUG
rnacentral:rRNA from 1 species